GACGUAGGGGGCGAGCGUUGUCCGGAUUCAUUGGGCGUAAAGCGCGCGUAGGCGGCCCGGUAAGUCGGAUGUGAAAUCUCACGGCUCAACCGUGGAACUGCAUUCGAUACUGUCGGGCUAGAGGCAGGUAGGGGAGAUCGGAAUUCCCGGUGUAGCGGUGAAAUGCGCAGAUAUCUGGAGGAACACCGGUGGCGAAGGCGGCAUCCUGGACCAACACUGACGCUGAGGAGCGAAAGCCAGGGGAGCAAACGGG
rnacentral:rRNA from 1 species